ensembl:lncRNA
AUCAAGGUGGAACACUGCUUAUUUCCAUGUAAGAUGAAAUGGACUGGCCAAGGAAGGCAUGUGGACAGUAAUUGAAGAUCUGCUGAUGUACAACAUGCACAAGAGCUGGACUGAUGUACUAGAAGCUGGAACUGAAGCAAGUGUAGAAGACUCUUCUUCUCCUUCGAAUUCUUUUGGAAAGAACCCAACAUUUGACUGUCUCCUUUUAUGGAGGUAUGAUGAGCUUACGGAGCUGUGAGCACUGAACGUGGGAACUUGGACUGCUAUUCUGAGCACAUUUCAGAAAACUCUGUUGCGUCCCAUUACGUGCCUGUCUUUGAUCUCAAAUUGAAAAUCUCGGAGCCUCUUCCUCCAAUCCAAAAGCAAAUAAAUAGUGAAAGAAAGAAACCUCUCUCCUCUCAGCACGUAGGGCCUCCACGGCUGAAAAAUGAAGGUGACAGUAAUAGCUCUGAUGAACCUGUUUGGACAACAGACAGCAACAAAUACCUGUCUCUGUGGAGGAGUUUAAGAGCACUGCAGAGAUCCUCAGACAGUGCAGAGCCUCUUGGCUUACACAGGCCACUGUCUUUCUCUCCAAACAAUACCAGCCAAGCUUCCUCUGUACCUACAACUGAAGAGCUGCGGGAACAGGACAGUAACUAAUACAGCUUUCAAAUUUGAAUCUCCUGGUCUUAUUAAAAAAUAAGAAAUGAAGAAAAAAAAAAGAAAAGAAAAAGACCUGAAUUCUAAGCAAGAUGAAGGAUUUGAUUCUGAGGAAGAAAACUACACAAGGAGGCUUGAAGCUACAAGGGCAGUCCAGACUGCUUUUUCUCCAACCAGCUACUUUACUCAUGGCCCUUUGAAAGCAGCAAUUCCUGUGAAUCAGCAGUUAAAACGGUAGGUCCACACGGGCUUUGAGCUGAUGAGAACUACUGCUAAAUAGAAAUUCCUGAUAACAGGUGAAUUGUCAAACUGGAAGAUCUGUAAUGUAGUCUGCCUACUUAAGCCAGAGUAGCUCUGUUCAUUUUCAUCCCAUUCGUAUUGUGUUUCAUUUUUAGGAAAAGUCUGUUUCUAUUUAUUUCUUGUCUUGAUAUGGAACUGGGUACAAAAUUGAUUCUAAUAAUAAGCCUCUAAAAUUGUUUAAUUUACUCUCUAAUACUCAAAUAUAGCCUGUGGUUGUAAUUCACAUAUCAACAGCUAGGUAAGUGCUGGGACUCAGUGUUGAAUGGAGGGAGGUUUUGUGAAGUGUGUAUUUGGGAUUCAGAAUCGGAAGAGUUACAAAUGAAAAGCCUUAUUUUAAACUUCGAUUCAGUCUGCUGAUAUUAGCUCUACAGUAAUUGAGUGCUGAGGGGAGAGUGGGUUCGGAGGGGUAGGGGGAGUACACUGCCAACUUCUAC